GAGCUGAAUCUCAGGAAUAAGAUUCUAAGAACUACAUUUCCCAGAGUGCACCAGCAGCAGAAAUCCAGCUGUUUGUCAUUGUCACUGAUUUGGAGCACCUGUUAAAGACAUGGAGUUCCUCAGUCAUGGAGGCAAACAAACUUCAGAGAGAAGAAGCUCCAAGUUCAUUCGUAGGUUCAGUCCAAAGACGCCAAUGGUUUACAACCUAAUUCACUGAGCUAAUUCACUGAGCAGAUCAAUCAACUGACAAAGCCAAAAGAAAAUAAAAGUGAUCGAGUCAGAAAUUUGAGUUGUCCUUGUGUCCUUUGGAUGGUGAACAAGAGUUGGACUGUACAAUCAUGAUUUCAGGUGUGAUGGCUGCAGACCAGAUUUGGCCAAAUAAGGAUGCAAAUGUAAUCAGUACAGAAGGAGAGUCUGUGAGAUUGAGUUGCUCAUAUGAUACAAGCAGCAGAUAUGUUACACUUUACUGGUACAGACAGUAUCUUAAUGGAGAACCUCAGUAUUUAAUGUGGAAAGAUGCUCGGGAUUGGAGUAGCACUGGGACUCCAGCUGAACCUCGCUUUCAGGCGACUACAUCAGAAACAUCCACUGAACUCACUAUUACUGGUGUAACUCUAUCAGAUUCAGCUCUCUAUUAUUGUGCUCUAUGGAGCCCAGUGAUACAAAGUCUAUGUGAAGCCGUACAAAAACUCAAAUUCAUUUUUCACUUUGAUCUCAAGCCACACCAAACCACAAUCUAUAAUUCACACAAAUUAAUUACACUUGUGGAAACACCCGUGUGAGAAGUUGGAUUUUUUUUUUUAAAUGUUAAAAAAAAAGAGGUAGACGUGAAACAAUGCACAAAAGUUUGUAAGCAUUUUCUUACUUGCAGACAAUAUUAUAAAUUUACAUAAUUCCAGAUAAUUGCAUCAUCUUCCAUAAUUUAACCAUAUUCCUGUCACUUUGCAUUGUACAAAUGUACAGAAUGUAAAUAUGUUAGAUAUAAUCAUGAAUGUUUAAGUGUCAAAAGGGUAAAAUUAUCAAUAACUUAAAUGAUGACACUGGAAACAGUCACUGUAACAUAGACUUUGAACAGGAACAAUGAAUAAAAAUAAAUAAAUAAAUAAAAAUAUUAAUCUUUUUACAAUAAUAUCAUGAAGAGGGCAGUAUACACACACACCACUUAAAAUCAUAUUUUUAUUUCCUUUUUAUGUUUAAACUCUCCUCCCUGCUAUAAACCAUCCAAUUUCUUACUGACACUGAUUUAUCUGUUUCUCCUGUUACAGCCAACACAUGAUACAAAAUGAUUACUCAUAGGUUGUUUAAAUUAUUCAUUUUUGCAUGAGUUUAUCAUAGUAAGUGGGGGAAUUUGUAAUU